GUUUCGAUGACUGAUUAUAUGGACUCAUUUCAGAUUGAGCCUUUAGUUUCAGUUGUCGUGCCUGAUCCUGUAGAUAUUUGGUAGAGGACCUAGGGUCGGACUUUCCGUUGGUGCAUUCUGAGCCGGAAGUACGAUUGAUGGAGACUAGCUAUGGGAAUCACUUCACGCUUGUACAGGAAGAGUUCAUUGAAGAGUGUCCUGCUGCAGCUAUUAAUACUGCCACUUGCGAACCAGUCAUGCAGAUCACUGAAUGUGAUCUUGAAUUACCAAUGCCUAUCUUGACUGGUCGCAGUGAUCGGGUUUCACUCGAAAAGCUGCAAUGCACUGUGGAUGCUAUUCUACCAACUCAUGCCC
rnacentral:sRNA from 1 species